CCCUUAGAUGUUCUGGGCCGCACGCGCGCUACACUGAUGCAUUCAACGAGCCUAUCCUUGACCGACAGGUCCGGGUAAUCUUUGAAUCUGCAUCGUGACGGGGAUAGAUUAUUGCAAUUAUUAAUCUUCAACGAGGAAUGCCUAGUAGGCGCAAGUCAUCAGCUUGCGUCGAUUACGUCCCUGCCCUUUGUACACACCGCCCGUCGCUCCUACCGAUUGGGUGUGCUGGUGAAAUGUUCGGAUCGGCCGUUUGUCGCGGUUUCCGCGUCAUGUGGCUGGGAAGUUCAUUAAACCCUCCCACCUAGAGGAUGGAGAAGUCGUAACA
rnacentral:rRNA from 1 species